UCACUGAUGGAAAUGCUUUUAUA
rnacentral:siRNA from 1 species